UAGGUACAUUUCUAUGCGCUUGUUUUAGU
rnacentral:sRNA from 1 species